GGACUUGGAGCUAAGAAAGGUAGCAGUCGUGAAACCUAUGCUAACUUAGUGUAUAUGAAUACAAAUCAAGCUAGAGGGGAACAUUUAUGGACAAUGGACUCGUGGAGUGUCAUUUAACGCGACGAUGAAUUCUGACCCAAGCAGGAAGCGUUUACAGUUAAUCCAACACGACCUCAUCAAGUGGCUAAUUAUCCUGCAGAAUUGAUUGAUGGGGCUUGUUGGAGAGUCUUCUUUGCAAGCAACAAAAAUGACCUUGAAGCAGACGUGUGAGGGAACUGUCGAGCGAGGCCGCACAGAAACAAGACGGCGAUAACGACUCCCAAGGGUCCACCGUGACUAGCCAACACCUGGAUGGAUGUCUCAUCAGGAGCAGACAAAGCAGUCAGUGUUGUGUUCCUCCGGAGGCCCACUAAAAGGAUUGCAGCAUGAAAAGCCAUCAGCAGGGAUUCAACAGUUGCUCGUCUGGUCUGAUUGGCCAAAAGCAAGCGGCCAAUCGCACCAAAGCAGCCCGUGAGUGGGUGGAGCCUCUGCAAGACCCUUCUACCCCCCAAGCGCUGAUUGGCUGAGGAUGAGGUGAGUGUUUCAAAUAUCUCCGAAGGAGGUGACACAUGACACUGUUGCUGAUGCCUUUCUAUUCGACUACUUUGAGGAUUUUUAUCAUUUAAAAGCAUUCUUUUUGGUCGUCAUCAGAGGAAAAAUGUAUUUGUGUGUCCUGAAAUCCUAUCAGAUCUCAUUCAUUUCUUGUCUGAAUUAAACAUUUA